CCUACGGGAGGCAGCAGUGGGGAAUAUUGCGCAAUGGGCGAAAGCCUGACGCAGCGACGCCGCGUGAGGGAUGACGGUCUUCUGAUCGUAAACCUCUGUUAGCAGGGAAGUACGGUCACUGUGCUAAUCAGCAGUGAAUUGACGGUACCUGCAAAGGAAGCACCGGCUAACUCCGUGCCCGCAGCCGCGGUAAUACGGAGGGUGCGUGCGUUAAUCUGAUUUACUGGGCGUAAAGCUCUCGUAGGUGUUAGGUCAAGUCAAGGGUGAAAUCCCCGCGCUCAACGGGGGAAGUGCAUUUGAAACUGGCAGACUUGAGUGUGUGAGAGGAUAGUGGAAUUCCAGGUGUAGGAGUGAAAUGCGUAGAUAUCUGGAGGAACAGCAGUGGCGAAGGCGACUAUCUGGCACAUAACUGACGCUGAGGAGCGAAAGCGUGGGUAGCAAACAGGAUUAGAUACCCGUGUAGUC
rnacentral:rRNA from 1 species